CCCAACCCUGCCCAUCACCGGAGUCAGGAGAACUACGAAACUCUCCUCUGGGCUGCUAUCUGUCCUCUCAGAGGGCUGGGGUGGAGGCCAUGUGGCACCACCAUGACUACUCUUUGCACAAGGAUUUUCUUUCUGCUCUCUGAACACCAGCUUUCCUUUCUUAACCUGAGCCUGUUUCUCUUAUGCUUCUUUCACAGACAAUGAAUAAUCAGUCCACUUCCUUCUUAUAAAAUCCCUCUCUAGAGUAAUCUACUUACCUCCUAAUGGGUGCUUUCCAGGCUAAAUAGCCUGUAUCUUUCUAAUCUCACAUCCCUGGACCUACUUUCUGGACAAAUAAGCAAACUGGCACCUCUAGUAGCUAUGGCUGAGGAAGCAGGAGCAGAGCAAGAUGAUCAGAGUCAUGAUGAUCCUGCCCCCAACCUCACUUCAGCCACACCUGACUUCACUUAAUAGAACCCAGAACAUAGCUUUGGUGAUGGAAUAUGUGGAAGGAGGACCAACAAGACUCUGUAGCAAGUAGUGAUCUGUCUCCAAGUGGAUCUGUCCAGUACCCCUUUUGCUAUGGGCCCUUCAAGUUCACUGGAUCAUUGUCAGUAAGAGGGAGAGGACUCUUUAGAAGACGGACACCGAUUUGCUUUCGGGCAUGCAUCCUCCAAAGAUGUCUACAACUAAAUAUUGGCAUUUUGACCAAGACAAGUCCUAUCUGAGAAGGAAUAAUUUCUCACAGAGAAUAAAAAGAUGUUGUAAGUAACA